rnacentral:snRNA from 1 species
CAGGUUUAUAAAUUAGUUU